rnacentral:rRNA from 1 species
UACGUAGGUCCCGAGCGUUAUCCGGAUUUAUUGGGCGUAAAGCGUCCGUAGCCGGUUUUGUAAGUCUGUGUUUAAAUAUCUUGGCUCAACCAAGAAAAGGGCAUAGAUACUGCAUCACUAGAGGCUGUUAGAGGUUAGUGGAAUUUCCGGUGGAGCGGUGAAAUGCGUUGAUAUCGGAAGGAACGCCAAAAGCGAAAGCAGCUAACUAUAACAAACCUGACGGUAAGGGACGAAAGUAUGGGUAGCAAACGGG